rnacentral:rRNA from 1 species
GACAGAGGUGCCAAGCGUUAGGCGGAAUCACUGGGCUUAAAGCGUGUGUAGGCGGAUCGUUAAGUACCUUGUGAAAUCCCACGGCUUAACCGUGGAACUGCUCGGUAUACUGGCGGUCUUGAGCAACCUAGGGGCGAGCGGAACAAAUGGUGGAGCGGUGAAAUGCGUAGAUAUCAUUUGGAACGCCAAUGGUGAAAACAGCUCGCUGGGGGUUUGCUGACGCUGAGACACAAAAGCCAGGGGAGCAAACGGG